AGCAGUAGCCACGGUAAUACGUAGGUGGCAAGCGUUGUCCGGGAUUAUUGGGCGUAAAGCGCGCGCAGGCGGAUAGGUCAGUCUGUCCUAAAAGUUCGGGGCUUAACCCCGUGAUGGGAUGGAAACUGCCAAUCUAGAGUAUCGGAGAGGAAAGUGGAAUUCCUAGUGUAGCGGUGAAAUGCGUAGAUAUUAGGAAGAACACCAGUGGCGAAGGCGACUUUCUGGACGAAAACUGACGCUGAGGCGCGAAAGCCAGGGGAGCGAACGGGAUUAGAUACCCCCGUAGUCCCUGUCUCUUAUACA
rnacentral:rRNA from 1 species